rfam:Ipomoea nil DNA, scaffold: scaffold2283, cultivar: Tokyo-kokei standard.
GUGGGCGUGCCGGAGUGGUUAUCGGGCAUGACUAGAAAUCAUGUGGGCUUUGCCCAUGUAGGUUCGGAUCCUGUCGCUCAUG